UACGAAGGUGGCAAGCGUUGUUCGGAUUUAUUGGGCGUAAAGAGCGUGUAGGCGGCCUGACAGGUCUGCUGUGAAAACUCGAGGCUCAACCUCGAGAUGUCGGCGGAAACCGUCUGGCUAGAGUCCGGAAGAGGAGAGUGGAAUUCCUGGUGUAGCGGUGAAAUGCGCAGAUAUCAGGAGGAACACCAAUAGCGAAGGCAGCUCGCUGGGACGUUUACUGACACUGAGGCGCGAAAGCGUGGGGAGCGAACAGG
rnacentral:rRNA from 1 species